UGAGGAAUAUUGGACAAUGGGCGCAAGCCUGAUCCAGCCAUGCCGCGUGCAGGAAGAAGCAUCUAUGGUGUGUAAACUGCUUUUGUACGGGAAGAAACACUCCUUCGUGAAGGAGCUUGACGGUACCGUAGAAUAAGGAUCGGCUAACUCCGUGCCAGCAGCCGCGGUAAUACGGAGGAUCCAAGCGUUAUCCGGAAUCAUUGGGUUUAAAGGGUCCGUAGGCGGUUUAGUAAGUCAGUGGUGAAAGCCCAUCGCUCAACGAUGGAACGGCCAUUGAUACUGCUAGACUUGAAUGAUUAGGGAGUAGCUAGAAUAUGUAGUGUAGCGGUGAAAUGCUUAGAUAUUACGUGGAAUACCAAUUGCGAAGGCAGGUUACUACUAAUAGAUUGACGCUGAUGGACGAAAGCGUGGGGAGCGAACA
rnacentral:rRNA from 1 species